rnacentral:rRNA from 1 species
GACGAACGCUGGCGGCGUGCUUAACACAUGCAAGUCGAACGGAAAGGCCCUGCUUGCAGGGUACUCGAGUGGCGAACGGGCGAGUAACACGUGGGUGAUCUGCCCUGCACUUCGGGGUAAGCCUGGGAAACUGGGUCUAAUACCGGAUAGGAGCCAUUUUUAGUGUGAUGGUUGGAAAGUUUUUUCGGUGUAGGAUGAGCUCGCGGCCUAUCAGCUUGUUGGUGGGGUAAUGGCCUACCAAGGCGGCGACGGGUAGCCGGCCUGAGAGGGUGGACGGCCACAUUGGGACUGAGAUACGGCCCAGACUCCUACGGGAGGCAGCAGUGGGGAAUAUUGCACAAUGGGCGCAAGCCUGAUGCAGCGACGCCGCGUGGGGGAUGACGGCCUUCGGGUUGUAAACUCCUUUCGCUAGGGACGAAGCUUUUUGUGACGGUACCUAGAUAAGAAGCACCGGCUAACUACGUG